GCCAGGUGCAGUGGCAGCGUGCACCUGUAGUCCCAGCUACUUGGGAAGCUGAGGCAGGAGAAACGCUUGAGCCCAGGAGUUCGAGGCUGCAGUGAGCUAUGAUAGCACCACUGCACUCCAGCCUGGACAACAGAGCAAGACCCUGUCUCAA
ensembl:misc_RNA Metazoa_SRP Metazoan signal recognition particle RNA